UACGUAGGGUGCGAGCGUUAAUCGGAAUUACUGGGCGUAAAGCGUGCGCAGGCGGUUUUGUAAGCCAGAUGUGAAAUCCCCGGGCUUAACCUGGGAAUGGCAUUUGGGACUACAAGGCUAGAGUGUGGCAGAGGGGGGUGGAAUUCCACGUGUAGCAGUGAAAUGCGUAGAGAUGUGGAGGAACACCGAUGGCGAAGGCAGCCCCCUGGGUUAACACUGACGCUCAGGCACGAAAGCGUGGGGAGCAAACAGG
rnacentral:rRNA from 1 species